AUUAUGACGCUGGCGGUAUGCUUAACACAUGCAAGUCGAACGGUAACAGGCAAAGCUUGCUUUGCGCUGACGAGUGGCGGACGGGUGAGUAACGCGUGGGAAUCUGCCUUAUAGUGGGGGAUAGCCCGGAGAAAUCCGGAUUAAUACCGCAUACGCCCUACGGGGGAAAGUUGGGGAUCUUCGGACCUGACGCUAUUGGAUGAGCCCGCGUUAGAUUAGCUUGUUGGUGGGGUAAUGGCCUACCAAGGCAACGAUCUAUAGCUGGUCUGAGAGGACGAUCAGCCACACUGGGACUGAGACACGGCCCAGACUCCUACGGGAGGCAGCAGUGGGGAAUAUUGCACAAUGGGCGCAAGCCUGAUCCAGCAAUACCGCGUGUAUGAAGAAGGCCUGAGGGUUGUAAAGUACUUUCAAUUGUGACGAAAGAUUGAUGGUUAAUAACCAUCGAUUCUGACAUUAACUUUAGAAGAAGCACCGGCUAACCCUGUGCCAGCAGCCGCGGUAAUACAGGGGGUGCGAGCGUUAAUCGGAAUUACUGGGCGUAAAGCGUACGUAGGCGGAUAUUUAAGUCAGAUGUGAAAGCCCCGGGCUCAACCUGGGAACUGCAUUUGAAACUGGGUAUCUAGAGUUUGGUAGAGGCAGGUAGAAUUCCUAGUGUAGCGGUGAAAUGCGUAGAUAUUAGGAGGAAUAUCCAGUGGCGAAGGCGGCCUGCUGGACCAAAACUGACGCUGAGGUACGAAAGCGUGGGGAGCAAACGGGAUUAGAUACCCCGGUAGUCCACCGCCGUAAACGAUGUCAACUAGUCGUUGGGACCCUUGAGGUCUUAGUGACGCAGCUAAACGCGUGAAGUUGACCGCCUGGGGAGUACGGCCGCAAGGCUAAAACUCAAAUGAUGACGUU
rnacentral:rRNA from 1 species